GACCUUUCAAGAGAAAAAAAAGGAAUUUGGACGGAUUACCACAGAGACGUGGCUACAACUUCUCCCUUAGUUUUCAUAUCAUGGAGUCCCAGAAGACCCAGGGCCGGCAGCGUCUGCCUGGCAGCGGAUCCCAGGGAAGACGAUUAAAGCACGCUGUCCUCUAGCAGCACAGGAUGUGGCUCAGUGCAGAACUUGGCAUCGUCCCCUUUACACCUCAUUUGUGUUUUGGACUCCACAAUAUCCUGCAGUUCUACAGCGCAUUUUACAAUGUUUUAAAAUUAUGUCCUUGUGCUCGUUGUGACAGAAUAACUCAGGACUGUUAGGAAACUCUUUGACUGUGGUACACUUCUAAGAACAGUUCUAAGCUCUAAGAACAGUUCUAAGGUCUAAGCCAUUCCCUGCUGCAGCUCUGCACAUCAGAGGGGUGGUCAGAGGGCCCCAGACAGCCCCAACCUCCACCAUCCCAGGUCCAACCUGGCCAUCAAGGUGCUCUCCAUCCCACACCAUAUAAAUCCAUACUGUGCACUACACAGAACUAUUUAUACCCUGCAGGGAGAGCGGUUAGUGACGAACCGCCUCACACUCCCGAGGAAUUUGCAUUAUCAGGAGCUGCUGCUGAUAAGGGUGCGCCUGCAGUCCAUCUGCUCCCGCCUGCCAUUUGCAAUACAAAGCAGUUCAGUCCGUAGAGAAAACUGAUUUAACCAUUUGACUCUGCUUUCACCUAAAUUUAGAGUGUCAAACAGUUCACUCUAAACAGUUCAUGUUUCAGUACGUGUAUCUUCUUCAUUCUAGCAUCCAGGACAGCUUUACCAGCAUUCCUGGCAGCGAGCUGUUCUUCAACACAGCGACAUCGCUGUACUUUCGUUUAGGAUAACCUCAGUGUGAGAGCACUGAACACGCUCCCCUGGGUGCUUCAGCAGGGAACAGCAAGCAGGAGGAAGUGAUGCUUCCUUCAUGUAUGACAUUAAAAUCCCUGUGUGCGCCUGUGUUAAAAAAACAGUAAUAAAAGAGGUGGAAAACUGGGUACAAUUCAGAGAAGAGAAGGCAGAUCAAAGCCUUAUUUCCUCUAUUUCACCUUUCAUUGCAGAUUACCCUCAUACUUAACAGUUCCCAGAGACGCGCCGUUCAGUCUGUAGGAAGUCACCUUUGCUGAGUGCAAAGCGCGGCUCAGCAUCGCAUCACCACUAACACUGAAUACCAUCUGCUGGGGCUGCUAUGCCACUGAGCUCAGGAAGGGGGCCGGCGUUGCCCGGCAGAACCACAUCUGAGCUGCAGCUCUCAGGCUGUGGAAGAUACAGCGACCGCAUUCACGCGGUGCUGCCUGGAGCCUGGAGCCUCCGAGAGCAACAAAGAGAUGAAGCGCUUUCCGUGAGCUGGGGUGGAGCAGGAAGGCGGCAGCAGUUCGCCUUUUUGGAAACUGUUUUUUGAGGCGCUUUAGCUACACGGAUGGCCAAUUAAAAAUGUAAUUACAUCACCCAAAGAUCUCAGAUUGGACAGAAGAAACACUUGGCCAAAUAAUUACGCACACGGCAAUCUGGAAGAAGCAGCAGAAAGAAACACAUUUAGAGAAUAUAAAAAGAUACGAGCAUUCUUUUAUAGAAGCUCAGUAACAAAUUGGAACAUGGAGAGCAAAACAUUUAAAGAUCAUUCUGAAAGUAUUACAGCUCAGAACUGAGGUAGGCACGCACCCAAAAUAAAGAACAACAAAAAGCAAUAGAAUAUGCAAAUGCUAUCAGUAUAAUUCAAUUAAAAUUAGGCCUUGCAAAUUAAGAUAUUUCUGAUCAUUGCUGACAAAUCAUAACACAGCACACCUACUGGCGAGUCGCAGCAGGCACCUCCAAAGGCACUGCGGGACCACAGACAAGUCAGCAGAACUUCAUUAAUUCACUUCAAGGAGAGGCUCAAUUAACAUCGGCUGACUUCAGACAGCAUUAACUCUGUUCCUACAGGUGUUCAAUCUACAGCUUUGACUUGAAGUUUUUCAUGUCUUUUCAAUGGAAUCACGAGCAAACGAAAAUUAAAGCAAUUAUGUAUGAUUUAAGAAAACUGAGACAAAAUAGUCUUAAAAAUCCGUAGCUAGUGCUAGCUUUGCAAAGACAGAAGAAACGAUCAUUAAUACCCAACAAUGGCCGUACAAGUUUAACAUAAUAAAAAGGCAAAAAAUUCAAAACAAA